AAAAAGACAAACCCUAGGUUUCCGUGUCCAACGUUUGACCGUCUGUCUUAUUUGAAAAAAUUAUAAAAAAUUUAAAAAAGACAAGUCACGCAUAAAGUAUUAAUCAUGUUUUAUCAUCUAACAAUAAUGAAAAUACUAAUUAUAAAAAAAUUUCAUAUAAGACGGACAGUCAAACGUUGGACACGGAAACCCAGGGUUUGUCUUUUU
rnacentral:pre_miRNA from 1 species